rnacentral:rRNA from 1 species
GACGAACGCUGGCGGCGUGCUUAACACAUGCAAGUCGAACGGAAAGGCCCUGCUUUUGUGGGGUGCUCGAGUGGCGAACGGGUGAGUAACACGUGAGUAACCUGCCCUUGACUUUGGGAUAACUUCAGGGAACUGGGGCUAAUACCGGAUAGGAGCUCCUGCUGCAUGGUGGGGGUUGGAAAGUUUCGGCGGUUGGGGAUGGACUCGCGGCUUAUCAGCUUGUUGGUGGGGUAGGGGCUUACCAAGGCUUUGACGGGUAGCCGGCCUGAGAGGGUGACCGGCCACAUUGGGCCUGAGAUACGGCCCAGACUCCUACGGGAGGCAGCAGUGGGGAAUAUUGCACAAUGGGCGGAAGCCUGAUGCAGCAACGCCGCGUGCGGGAUGACGGCCUUCGGGUUGUAAACCGCUUUCGACUGUGACGAAGCGUGAGUGACGGUAAUGGGUAAAGAAGCACCGGCUAACUACGUG